AUUUAGAGAUAACUGUCAUAGUCAGCUGUUACAUUUUUACACUUUAUUUUCUUUUUCUUAAAAAAAAAAAAACCAAUGCUCUACAAACGUAUUUUUAAUUUAGUAAAAAAAAAAAAAGGAGAAGGAGAGGAAGAAGGACAAGGACAAGGAAAGGAAGAAGGAGAAGGAGAGGGAGGAGAAGGAGAAGAAGGAGACGAAGAAGGAGAAGGAGAGGAAGAAGGAGGAGGAGAGGGAGAAGGAGGAGGAGGAGGACAAGGAGAGGAAGAAGGAGACAAAGAAGGAGAAGGAGAAGGAGAGGGAGGAGAGGGAGAAGAAGGAGGAGAAGGAGAGGGAGAAGGACAAGGAGAGGAAGAAGGACAAGGACAAGGAGAGGAAGAAGAAGGAGAGGAAGAAGGAGAAGGAGAGGGAGGAGAGGGAGAAGAAGGGGGAGAAGGACAAGGACAAGGAGAGGAAGAAGGAGAAGGACAAAGAGGAAGAAGGAGAGGAAGGAGAAGAAAGGAGAAAGAAAGAAAUUAGAAGAAGAAAGAAGAAGAAGAAAGGAGAAGAAAGAAGAAGGAGAAAGAAGAAGAAAAGAAAAGUUCAUUUCUGAAACCACAUGUCCUCGGAGAAGAUCUAUAGCGUCUCUGGCGACUCUGAACACUCGGCUGGCGUGGAGCGCGCGGCGGGGCCCCAGGGCGCGGGGCGGGGCGGGGCGGGGCGGGGCCACCCGGGGGCCCGCCCCGGGGUCGCGGGGUCCUCCCCGCAGCGAGGAGGCGACCCGGGGGCCGCAGCAGUUCCCACCUGCCGACGACAGGCUUUGCAGAAAAAGUCAGACCGGUUUGACAGCUAUCACCGCCCCCAAAAAGAUUAGGGUGGCCGUAAUUUUAGAUGCUCCGCUGGCUGGGAAAACUUCAAAAACCGGCCCGGAGCUUCAGGAGAGCCCGUGGCACCUCCAAACACCUGCGCGCCUCAUGCUCGCGACACUUGCACACCCAGGAUCCGCUCGUCUACGCCGCACGCUCGGUUCGCGAGGCGCUGCCCGCCGCGGAGAGCCUCGCUCGCUCCUCGCGCCGGGGAGCCCCGGGGUCCCCGCAGCGGAGUCCAGGGGGGCGCGGAGGUCGCGCCUCGGCCCCGCUCGCUCCGUGACGCCGGCUCCCGGGGCCCGGGGGACGCGCCUCCGAACCGUCGCCGGGGCUUGGCAGGGCGUCUGCUGCCCCCCGUCGGCGGUCGGGAGAACCGCAGCCCGCGGCCCGGUUAGAGUCCCCGGGAAGAGGCCUCCCGCGGCAGAGAAUAUUCCAGGACUACGCAGCGGCGAAGCGACGCCCGCCCAGCCCGCUCUCCGCGCUCCGCUCCGCCCGCCGCGUCUCAGCGCGGGGUUCGCCCCGGGGACAGCCUGUGGCCCCGCGAGGGGACCCGACGCGGCGCGGCGCGGGGCCCGGGGCGCGGGUGCAGGCGGGCCGGGCGGGGUGCGGGUGCGGGUGCGAGACGGCGCGUGGGCUUCCAUCCGCCCCUUCGGCAACACGUCAUCCUCCGGGGGAGCCCAGGUCCUCAGCGGGGGAGCCUGUUCACCGAGCUCGGCGUCGCGGGCUCCCAGGCCCCCGAAGCACCUGCCCCCCGCCCUCCCCCCCCCGUAGCACCGGCGACACACGCAGAAGUGACAAAGGCCACCUCUGCUGUGCCCAGGAGGGGCCUCCCGACGCGCGGGGCGACUGCAGCCCCGGUGAGGAGCGCCCGAGCGGGCUACAGAAAAGUACGACGGACCCCGAGAAGGGGCCCCGGAAGCCCCGNNNNNNNNNNNNNNNNNNNNNNNNNNNNNNNNNNNNNNNNNNNNNN
rnacentral:lncRNA from 12 species